GGCAGCGUUGAUAAAGCUGAGCAGCUUUUAAGAGUGUCAUAGCUGAGGCUGAGGCUGGUGGUUCCCCUGCCUUAAUAGCUAGAGGAUUUGGAAGUGGAAAGCCUGGAUCAGAGCAAUUUGAGAUGACAGUUCCUGAUAACAAGGUCGGUCUCAUUAUCGGAAAAGGUGGUGAGACAAUUAAAGGCAUGUAGACCAAAUCUGGUGCUCGUAUUGAG